CAGGCCCUGCCUUCGAUGAAGCCUUUAGUUCCACUAAAGGUAUGAGUAGUCGUCGGUGGGGCCGU
rnacentral:sRNA from 14 species